GCACUGCUGAGGAGUCCCACAAUAAGAUGAAACGAUCGUUCAGUAC
rnacentral:hammerhead_ribozyme from 1 species